UCGGAAUCACUGGGCGUAAAGCGCGCGCAGGCGCCUUUUAAGUUGGAUGUGAAAGCCUAUGGCUCAACCAUAGAACUGCAUCCAAAACUAUCAGGCUAGAGUGUGGGAGAGGAAGAUGGAAUUAGUUGUGUAGGGGUAAAAUCCGUAGAGAUAACUAGGAAUACCAAAAGCGAAGGCAAUCUUCUGGAACAUUACUGACGCUGAGGCGCGAAAGCGUGGGGAGCAAACAGGAUUAGAUACCCUGGUAGUCCACGCCCUAAACGAUGAAUGUUAGUCGUCGGGUAGCUAGUCUAUUCGGUGAUGCAGCUAACGCAUUAAACAUUCCGCCUGGGGAGUACGGUCGCAAGAUUAAAACUCAAAGGAAUAGACGGGGACCCGCACAAGUGGUGGAGCAUGUGGUUUAAUUCGAAGAUACGCGAAGAACCUUACCUAGCCUUGACAUAUAUUAGAACACCCUAGAGAUAGAGUGGUGCCUUCGGGAGCUUUUAUACAGGUGCUGCACGGCUGUCGUCAGCUCGUGUCGUGAGAUGUUGGGUUAAGUCCCGCAACGAGCGCAACCCUCGUCACUAGUUACUAACGGUUCGGCCGAGGACUCUAGUGAGACUGCCUUCGUAAGGAGGAGGAAGGUGAGGACGACGUCAAGUCAUCAUGGCCCUUACGGCUAGGGCAACACACGUGCUACAAUGGCCAGGACAAUGAGACGCGAUACCGCGAGGUGGAGCAAAUCUAUAAACCUGGUCUCAGUUCGGAUUGUAGUCUGCAACUCGACUACAUGAAGCUGGAAUCACUAGUAAUCGUAGAUCAGCUAUGCUACGGUGAAUACGUUCCCGGGUCUUGUACUCACCGCCCGUCACACCAUGGGAGUUGAUUUCACCCGAAGCGGGGAAGCUAAACUGGCUACCCUCCACGGUGGAAUCAGCGACUGGGGUGAAGUCGUAACAAGGUA
rnacentral:rRNA from 1 species